rnacentral:sRNA from 1 species
ACAUCUGCAACCGCACGAUCUGAGGUAAGAAGUUCUUAAAAGUUAAGACACCUCAAUUGGCGAGUCUAAGUAUUU